AGAGUUUGAUCAUGGCUCAGAUUGAACGCUGGCGGCAUGCUUUACACAUGCAAGUCGAACGGUAACAGGUCUUCGGAUGCUGACGAGUGGCGAACGGGUGAGUAAUGUAUCGGAACGUGCCCAGUAGUGGGGGAUAACUACUCGAAAGAGUGGCUAAUACCGCAUGAGAACUGAGGUUGAAAGCGGGGGACCUUCGGGCCUCGCGCUACUGGAGCGGCCGAUAUCAGAUUAGGUAGUUGGUGGGGUAAAGGCCUACCAAGCCGACGAUCUGUAGCUGGUCUGAGAGGACGACCAGCCACACUGGGACUGAGACACGGCCCAGACUCCUACGGGAGGCAGCAGUGGGGAAUUUUGGACAAUGGACGCAAGUCUGAUCCAGCAAUGCCGCGUGCAGGACGAAGGCCUUCGGGUUGUAAACUGCUUUUGUACAGAACGAAAAGGCUCUGGUUAAUACCUGGGGCUCAUGACGGUACUGUAAGAAUAAGCACCGGCUAACUACGUGCCAGCAGCCGCGGUAAUA
rnacentral:rRNA from 1 species